rnacentral:rRNA from 1 species
GGUGAACGCUAGCGGUGCGCCUAACACAUGCAAGUCGAACGCGAUCCCCCAUGAACCUUGAAGUGCUUGCACGGAUUGAUGAUUGGAUUUUGGAUUGAGUGGCGAACGGGUGAGUAACACGUUGGUAUCUGCCCCCAAGUCAGGGAUAGCCAGGAGAAAUCCUGAUUAAUACCGGAUAGUCUCUUCGGAGUAAAGAUUUAUUGCUUGGGGAGGAGCCUGCGUUCUAUCAGCUUGUUGGUAGUGUAAUAGACUACCAAGGCUAUGACGGAUAACUGGUCUGAGAGGAUGAUCAGUCACAAUGGAACUGAGACACGGUCCAUACUCCUACGGGAGGCAGCAGUGAGGAAUCUUCCACAAUGGACGAAAGUCUGAUGGAGCGACACCGCGUGAAGGAUGAAGGUCUAACGAUUGUAAACUUCUUUUCUGAGGGAGCAUAAUGAGAGUACCUCAGGAAUAAGGGACGGCUAAUUACG